rnacentral:piRNA from 1 species
UACCUGCUGAAAGUGUAGAGACACACGCA